AUUGAACGCUGGCGGCAUGCUUUACACAUGCAAGUCGAACGGUAACAGGCCUUCGGGUGCUGACGAGUGGCGAACGGGUGAGUAAUGCAUCGGAACGUACCCAGAGGUGGGGGAUAACGCAGCGAAAGCUGUGCUAAUACCGCAUGUGAUCUGAGGAUGAAAGCGGGGGACCGAGCAGCAAUGUUUGGCCUCGCGCCUUUGGAGCGGCCGAUGUCGGAUUAGCUAGUUGGUGGGGUAAAGGCCUACCAAGGCGACGAUCCGUAGCUGGUCUGAGAGGACGACCAGCCACACUGGGACUGAGACACGGCCCAGACUCCUACGGGAGGCAGCAGUGGGGAAUUUUGGACAAUGGGCGCAAGCCUGAUCCAGCAAUGCCGCGUGCGGGAAGAAGGCCUUCGGGUUGUAAACCGCUUUUGGCAGGAACGAAACGGUGUCCGCUAAUACCGGGCGCUAAUGACGGUACCUGCAGAAUAGCACCGGCUAACUACGUG
rnacentral:rRNA from 1 species